GUGCUCGCUUCACCAGCACUUACACUGAAAUUGAAACCAUACAGAGAAGGACUGCAUGGCCCCUGAGCAAAGGCAAGUCACAGACUUUUUUUUUAGCAUUGCUGAAUUUGU